UCCGGUUGAUCCUGCCGGACCUGACUGCUAUCGGAUUGGUACUAAGCCAUGCGAGUCAUUGUAGCAAUACAAGGCGGACGGCUCAGUAACACGUAGUCAACCUAACCUAUGGACGUGGAUAACCUCGGGAAACUGAGAAUAAACCGCGAUAGAUCAUUAUGCCUGGAAUGGCUUAUGGUUCAAACAAUUUAUUGCCGUAGGAUGGGACUGCGGCCUAUCAGCUUGUUGGUGAGGUAAUGGCCCACCAAGGCUAUAACAGGUACGGGCUCUGGGAGGAGAAGCCCGGAGAUGGGUACUGAGACACGGACCCAGGCCCUAUGGGGCGCAGCAGGCGAGAAACCUUAGCAAUGUGCGAAAGCACGACUAGGUUAAUCCGAGUGAUUUCUGUUGAAGAAAUCUUUUGUCAGUCGUAAAACCACAGACGAAUAAGGGGUGGGCAAGUCUGGUGUCAGCCGCCGCGGUAAUACCAGCACCUCGAGUGGUCAGGAGGUUUAUUGGGCCUAAAGCAUCCGUAGCCGGCUUUGCAAGUCUCCGGUUAAAUCCAGCUGCUCAACAGAUGGGGCUGCCGGAGAUACUACAAAGCUGGGGGAGCGGGAGAGGCAGACGGUAUUCUGUGGGUAGGGGUAAAAUCCACUGAUCCAUAGAGGACCACCAGUGGCGAAAGCGGUCUGCCAGAACGCGUUCGACGGUGAGGGAUGAAAGCUGGGGGAGCAAACCGGAUUAGAUACCCGGGUAGUCCCAGCUGUAAACGAUGCAAACUCGGUGAUGCAUUGGCUUAUGGCCAAUGCAGUGCCGCAGGGAAGCCGUUAAGUUUGCCGCCUGGGAAGUACGGACGCAAGUCUGAAACUUAAAGGAAUUGGCGGGGGAGCAC
rnacentral:rRNA from 1 species